rnacentral:rRNA from 1 species
UGAUCAGGUAGAUAGGUUAGGAGUGUAAUUGUGGUGACACAUUUAGCGGACUAAUACUAAUAGCUCGAGGACUUAUCCAAAA